rnacentral:rRNA from 1 species
UACGGAGGAUGCGAGCGUUAUCCGGAUUUAUUGGGUUUAAAGGGUGCGCAGGCGGCGCGAAAAGUCAGCGGUCAAAGUUCCGGGCUCAACCCGGUGACGCCGUUGAAACUUUCGUGCUGGAGUUCGUGCGAGGGAGGCGGAAUGCGUUGUGUAGCGGUGAAAUGCAUAGAUAUGACGCAGAACCCCGAUUGCGAAGGCAGCUUUCCAGCACGCGACUGACGCUGAGGCACGAAAGCGUGGGGAGCGAACAGG